rnacentral:rRNA from 1 species
AGUCGUAACAAGGUUUCUGUAGGUGAACCUGCAGAAGGAUCAUUAGUGAAGAUUUGGGCAGGCCAUACGGACGCCAAAAAGUGUCCCUGGCCGCCUACACCCACUAUACAUCCACAAACCCGUGUGCACUGUCUUGGAGAAAGGCUUCAGAGAAGUUUUUUGUGGCCUCUCUUGGGGUCUUUCUUCGCUACAAACUCGAAUGGUUAGUAUGAACGUGGAACUUGGUUGGACCGUCACUGGCCAACAAACUAUACACAACUUUCGACAACGGAUCUCUUGGUUCUCCCAUCGAUGAAGAACGCAGCGAAACGCGAUAGGUAAUGUGAAUUGCAGAAUUCCGUGAAUCAUCGAAUCUUUGAACGCACCUUGCGCUCUAUGGCAAUCCGUAGAGCAUGCCUGUUUGAGUGCCAUGAAAUCUCCCACCCCAAGCGGUUUUUAAAUGAAACGGCUUGGCGGAUGGGGUCUGGAUGGGUGCCUCUGCCUGCGCUACCUAGCACAGGCUCGCCCGAAAUGCAUGAGCGCCUUGAGACACUUUGCAUCCGCCUCUCUGUUUGGGAGGAGGCGGCCAAGCAGUGUUUUUCUCCUGGCAUGGCAUGAUACGUCAUUUGCUAUGCCGCCUAAAGGAGGAAUGUUUGGUUGUGUCUGCGUGUGCUUCGAACUUGCCUCUGUGGCACAUCCCAAUUUCACUUCUGGUCUCAAAUCAGGUAGGAUCACCCGCUGAACUUAAGCAUAUCAAUA